rnacentral:rRNA from 1 species
UACGAAGGGGGCUAGCGUUGCUCGGAAUCACUGGGCGUAAAGCGCACGUAGGCGGCUUUUUAAGUCAGGGGUGAAAUCCUGGAGCUCAACUCCAGAACUGCCUUUGAUACUGAAGAUCUUGAGUUCGGGAGAGGUGAGUGGAACUGCGAGUGUAGAGGUGAAAUUCGUAGAUAUUCGCAAGAACACCAGUGGCGAAGGCGGCUCACUGGCCCGAUACUGACGCUGAGGCACGAAAGCGUGGGGAGCAAACAGGG